rnacentral:rRNA from 1 species
GGUCAAGAUGGUAAGGGCCCACGGUGGAUGCCUCGGCACCCGAGCCGAUGAAGGACGUGGCUACCUGCGAUAAGCCAGGGGGAGCCGGUAGCGGGCGUGGAUCCCUGGAUGUCCGAAUGGGGGAACCCGGCCGGCGGGAACGCCGGUCACCGCGCUUGCGCGGGGGGAACCUGGGGAACUGAAACAUCUCAGUACCCAGAGGAGAGGAAAGAGAAAUCGACUCCCUGAGUAGCGGCGAGCGAAAGGGGACCAGCCUAAACCGUCCGGCUUGUCCGGGCGGGGUCGGGGGCCCUCGGCCGAAUCCCCAGCCUAGCCGAAGCUGUUGGGAAGCAGCGCCAGAGAGGGUGAAAGCCCCGUAGGCGAAAGGUGGGGGGAUAGGUGAGGGUACCCGAGUACCCCGUGGUUCGUGGAGCCAUGGGGGAAUCUGGGCGGACCACCGCCUAAGGCUAAGUACUCCGGGUGACCGAUAGCGCACCAGUACCGUGAGGGAAAGGUGAAAAGAACCCCGGGAGGGGAGUGAAAUAGAGCCUGAAACCGUGGGCUUACAAGCAGUCACGGCCCCAAGGGGUUGUGGCGUGCCUAUUGAAGCAUGAGCCGGCGACUCACGGUCGUGGGCGAGCUUAAGCCGUUGAGGCGGAGGCGUAGGGAAACCGAGUCCGAACAGGGCGCGUCCGCGGCCGUGGACCCGAAACCGGGCGAGCUAGCCCUGGCCAGGGUGAAGCUGGGGUGAGACCCAGUGGAGGCCCGAACCGGUGGGGGAUGCAAACCCCUCGGAUGAGCUGGGGCUAGGAGUGAAAAGCUAACCGAGCCCGGAGAUAGCUGGUUCUCCCCGAAAUGACUUUAGGGUCAGCCUCAGGCGCUGACUGGGGCCUGUAGAGCACUGAUAGGGCUAGGGGGCCCACCAGCCUACCAAACCCUGUCAAACUCCGAAGGGUCCCAGGUGGAGCCUGGGAGUGAGGGCGCGAGCGAUAACGUCCGCGUCCGAGCGCGGGAACAACCGAGACCGCCAGCUAAGGCCCCCAAGUCUGGGCUAAGUGGUAAAGGAUGUGGCGCCGCGAAGACAGCCAGUCGAGUGGCGCCGCGCCGAAAAUGAUCGGGGCUUAAGCCCAGCGCCGAAGCUGCGGGUCUGGGGGAUGACCCCAGGCGGUAGGGGAGCGUUCCCGAUGCCGAUGAAGGCCGACCCGCGAGGGCGGCUGGAGGUAAGGGAAGUGCGAAUGCCGGCAUGAGUAACGAUAAAGAGGGUGAGAAUCCCUCUCGCCGUAAGCCCAAGGGUUCCUACGCAAUGGUCGUCAGCGUAGGGUUAGGCGGGACCUAAGGUGAAGCCGAAAGGCGUAGCCGAAGGGCAGCCGGUUAAUAUUCCGGCCCUUCCCGCAGGUGCGAUGGGGGGACGCUCUAGGCUAGGGGGACCGGAGCCAUGGACGAGCCCGGCCAGAAGCGCAGGGUGGGAGGUAGGCAAAUCCGCCUCCCAACAAGCUCUGCGUGGUGGGGAAGCCCGCAACCCCCCGAAGCCAGGGAGCCAAGAAAAGCCUCUAAGCACAACCUGCGGGAACCCGUACCGCAAACCGACACAGGUGGGCGGGUGCAAGAGCACUCAGGCGCGCGGGAGAACCCUCGCCAAGGAACUCUGCAAGUUGGCCCCGUAACUUCGGGAGAAGGGGUGCUCCCUGGGGUGAUGAGCCCCGGGGAGCCGCAGUGAACAGGCUCUGGCGACUGUUUACCAAAAACACAGCUCUCUGCGAACUCGUAAGAGGAGGUAUAGGGAGCGACGCUUGCCCGGUGCCGGAAGGUCAAGGGGAGGGGUGCAAGCCCCGAACCGAAGCCCCGGUGAACGGCGGCCGUAACUAUAACGGUCCUAAGGUAGCGAAAUUCCUUGUCGGGUAAGUUCCGACCUGCACGAAAAGCGUAACGACCGGAGCGCUGUCUCGGCGAGGGACCCGGUGAAAUUGAACUGGCCGUGAAGAUGCGGCCUACCCGUGGCAGGACGAAAAGACCCCGUGGAGCUUUACUGCAGCCUGGUGUUGGCUCUUGGUCGCGCCUGCGUAGGAUAGGUGGGAGCCUGUGAACCCCCGCCUCCGGGUGGGGGGGAGGCGCCGGUGAAAUACCACCCUGGCGCGGCUGGGGGCCUAACCCUCGGAUGGGGGGACAGCGCUUGGCGGGCAGUUUGACUGGGGCGGUCGCCUCCUAAAAGGUAACGGAGGCGCCCAAAGGUCCCCUCAGGCGGGACGGAAAUCCGCCGGAGAGCGCAAGGGUAGAAGGGGGCCUGACUGCGAGGCCUGCAAGCCGAGCAGGGGCGAAAGCCGGGCCUAGUGAACCGGUGGUCCCGUGUGGAAGGGCCAUCGAUCAACGGAUAAAAGUUACCCCGGGGAUAACAGGCUGAUCUCCCCCGAGCGUCCACAGCGGCGGGGAGGUUUGGCACCUCGAUGUCGGCUCGUCGCAUCCUGGGGCUGAAGAAGGUCCCAAGGGUUGGGCUGUUCGCCCAUUAAAGCGGCACGCGAGCUGGGUUCAGAACGUCGUGAGACAGUUCGGUCUCUAUCCGCCACGGGCGCAGGAGGCUUGAGGGGGGCUCUUCCUAGUACGAGAGGACCGGAAGGGACGCACCUCUGGUUUCCCAGCUGUCCCUCCAGGGGCAUAAGCUGGGUAGCCAUGUGCGGAAGGGAUAACCGCUGAAAGCAUCUAAGCGGGAAGCCCGCCCCAAGAUGAGGCCUCCCACGGCGUCAAGCCGGUAAGGACCCGGGAAGACCACCCGGUGGAUGGGCCGGGGGUGUAAGCGCCGCGAGGCGUUGAGCCGACCGGUCCCAAUCGUCCGAGGUCUUGACCCCUCC